UACGAAGGGUGCAAGCGUUACUCGGAAUUACUGGGCGUAAAGCGUGCGUAGGUGGUUUGUUAAGUCUGCUGUGAAAGCCCCGGGCUCAACCUGGGAAUGGCAGUGGAUACUGGCAAGCUAGAGUGCGGUAGAGGGUAGUGGAAUUCCCGGUGUAGCGGUGAAAUGCGUAGAGAUCGGGAGGAACACCAGUGGCGAAGGCGGCUACCUGGACCAGCACUGGACACUGAGGCACGAAAGCGUUGGGGAGCAAACAGG
rnacentral:rRNA from 1 species